rnacentral:rRNA from 1 species
UACGUAGGGUGCGAGUGUUAAUCGGAUUUACUGGGCGUAAAGCGUGCGCAGGCGGUCUGUUAAGACCGAUGUGAAAUCCCCGGGCUUAACCUGGGAACUGCAUUGGUGACUGGCAGGCUUUGAGUGUGGCAGAGGGAGGUAGAAUUCCACGUGUAGCAGUGAAAUGCGUAGAGAUGUGGAGGAAUACCGAUGGCGAAGGCAGCCUCCUGGGCCAACACUGACGCUCAUGCACGAAAGCGUGGGGAGCAAACAGG